rnacentral:tRNA from 1 species
CGAGCAGUAGCUCAGUGGUAGAGCUCCCGCUUCGUAUGCGGGAAGAUCUGGGUUCGGUUCUCGGCUGUUUUC